GACGAACGCUGGCGGCGUGCUUAACACAUGCAAGUCGAACGGAAAGGCCCUGCUUUUGUGGGGUGCUCGAGUGGCGAACGGGUGAGUAACACGUGAGUAACCUGCCCUUGACUUUGGGAUAACUUCAGGAAACUGGGGCUAAUACCGGAUAGGAGCUCCUGCUGCAUGGUGGGGGUUGGAAAGUUUCGGCGGUUGGGGAUGGACUCGCGGCUUAUCAGCUUGUUGGUGGGGUAGUGGCUUACCAAGGCUUUGACGGGUAGCCGGCCUGAGAGGGUGACCGGCCACAUUGGGACUGAGAUACGGCCCAGACUCCUACGGGAGGCAGCAGUGGGGAAUAUUGCACAAUGGGCGGAAGCCUGAUGCAGCAACGCCGCGUGCGGGAUGACGGCCUUCGGGUUGUAAACCGCUUUCGCCUGUGACGAAGCGUGAGUGACGGUAAUGGGUAAAGAAGCACCGGCUCCCUACGUG
rnacentral:rRNA from 1 species